rnacentral:misc_RNA from 1 species
UACGGAGGGUGCAAACGUUGCUCGGAAUCAUUGGGCGUAAAGCGCACGUAGGCGGUUUCGUAAGUCGGAUGUGAAAGCCCUAGGCUUAACCAAGGAAGUGCAUUCGAAACUGCGUGACUUGAGUACGGGAGAGGGUUGUGGAAUUCCCGGUGUAGAGGUGAAAUUCGUAGAUAUCGGGAGGAACACCAGAGGCGAAGGCGACAACCUGGACCGAUACUGACGCUGAGGUGCGAAAGCGUGGGGAGCAAACAGG